rnacentral:rRNA from 1 species
GACGAACGCUGGCGGCGUGCUUAACACAUGCAAGUCGAGCGGUAAGGCCCUUUCGGGGGUACACGAGCGGCGAACGGGUGAGUAACACGUGGGUGACCUGCCCUCAGCUCUGGGAUAAGCCUGGGAAACUGGGUCUAAUACUGGAUAUGACUCCAUGACGCAUGUUGUGGGGUGGAAAGCCUUGUGCGGCUGAGGAUGGGCCCGCGGCCUAUCAGCUUGUUGGUGGGGUGACGGCCUACCAAGGCGACGACGGGUAGCCGGCCUGAGAGGGCGACCGGCCACACUGGGACUGAGACACGGCCCAGACUCCUACGGGAGGCAGCAGUGGGGAAUCUUGCGCAAUGGGCGAAAGCCUGACGCAGCGACGCCGCGUGAGGGAUGACGGCCU